rnacentral:rRNA from 1 species
GAUGAACGCUAGCUACAGGCUUAACACAUGCAAGUCGCGGGGCAGCAUGGGGGUUGCUUGCAAUCCCCGAUGGCGACCGGCGCACGGGUGAGUAACGCGUAUCCAACCUGCCCUUCACCACGGGAUAACCCGGCGAAAGUCGGACUAAUACCGUAUGUUGUCCAUUGACGGCAUCCGAUUUGGACGAAAGGUUUGGCGGUGAAGGAUGGGGAUGCGUCCGAUUAGCUGGACGGCGGGGUGACGGCCCACCGGGGCGACGAUCGGUAGGGGUUCUGAGAGGAAGGUCCCCCAAACUGGAACCGGGAACCCGUCCAGGAUCCUACGGGAGGGAGCAGUGAGGGAAAAUGGGCAAUGGGCGUAAGCCUGAACCAGCCAAGUAGCGUGCAGGAUGACGGCCCUAUGGGUUGUAAACUGCUUUUAUGCGGGGAUAAAGUGGCCCACGUGUGGGUUUUUGCAGGUACCGCAUGAAUAAGGACCGGCUAAUUCCAUG